CGCCCUUAGAGUUUGAUCAUGGCUCAGGAUGAACGCUGGCGGCGUGCUUAACACAUGCAAGUCGAACGGGAACUUCGGUUCUAGUGGCGGACGGGUGAGUAACGCGUGGGUAACCUGCCUUAUACAGGGGGAUAACAGUCAGAAAUGGCUGCUAAUACCGCAUAAGCGCACAGCUGCAUGGCCAGUGUGAAAAACUCCGGUGGUAUAAGAUGGACCCGCGUUGGAUUAGCUGGUUGGUGGGGUAACGGCCCACCAAGGCGACGAUCCAUAGCCGGCCUGAGAGGGUGAACGGCCACAUUGGGACUGAGACACGGCCCAGACUCCUACGGGAGGCAGCAGUGGGGAAUAUUGGACAAUGGGGGAAACCCUGAUGCAGCGACGCCG
rnacentral:rRNA from 1 species